rnacentral:rRNA from 1 species
UGAGGAAUCUUCCGCAAUGGGCGCAAGCCUGACGGAGCGACACCGCGUGGAGGACGAAGCCUUUGUUGGUGUAAACUCCUUUUUUCUCCGAAGAUAAUGACGGUAGGAGAAGAAUAAGAAGCAGCAAACUACGUGCCAGCAGCUGCGGUAAUACGUAGGCUUCAAGCGUUAUCCGGAAUUACUGGGUGUAAAGCGUCUGUAGGCGGCAGAGUAAGUUUGGCAUGAAAGACCGGGGCUUAACCCCGUGUUU